ACCGCGAACCGGGAGGUUGCGGGUGACACCGGGGCGAGGGGGGCUGGGGAUAGGCGCGACACUGGGGCGAGGGGACACCGGGGACCGGCCGGGGAUGUUAAUGGCUGCAGGGGGCGCUGUGCACCUGCGCGGUGAGCAGGCGGGACAGCAGAGCAGGGUCGGGGGGACGCCGGGGACAGGGAGUCCUGACCGGGGGUUUAACGUGGACAGGGACGCUGAACUGGGCAGCGGGGACAGGGAGUCCUGACCGGGGGUUUAACGUGGACAGGGACGCUGAACUGGGCAGCGGGGACAGCGGAACAGAGGAAUAACACUGGACCGAGUGGGACGCCGACUGCGGGCCGACACCGAACAGGGUGACACCGGGACGGGGAUGAUCCCGGGACACGGGGGUGACACCGAGCAGCAGGGAAACGGACCAGCGGGGGACACCGGAGCGAGGUGACACCGGCGGGUGAUCCUAGAGACCGAGUGGCUCCCGAGCCACGGCACCGGGUACAGCACGGCCGAGGCGGCUCCAGCGCCGGUGCCAGUAGCAGAGGAGGAGCUGCGGCGCCGCCUCAAGUAAUUCCUCAUGAGCCCCUGUGACAAGUAGCGGGCCCGCAUGUUGUGGUGCUUUGAAUCCAUGUUUGCCCACUGUUCUCCCUAAUCCCCUCACUUUCCCAGUUACCAAUUUUCUCAAGCCCUUCCCUAACCUCCUCCCUUCCAAGCUGUUAAUCCUCCCUAUCCCUUUCUCCAGAGAGUUCUGUGUCUGUCUUGUUGCCCUCGACACCCCAUUUGUUACUUCGUAUUAUUCCCCCCCACCCCUUUUUCUCUAAUACGCUCAUAAGCUAUUUGCCUCACCCUAUACUCCUCUCUUGCCAUAUCCUCAUUGGUUCACUUUCCUGCACCCCUCCUCCUGAGCUGCUGUAUAAAAACUUGUGUUCACCCCUCCCCCAAUCUUGUCUGGGAGCUCAGGAAUAAAUCCAUCUUGUUCUACUCCAAGACCCGUGUCUUUGCUAUCUGUCCCUGUGCCGGAGCUGCCGAUAACUGGGAAUUGCAGAGUUUGCAGGGUCGUGCCCCUGCCACAGCCGUCCCACACGCCACGCACUGCAACACCCACGGAAGGCGGCCCGCGAAGUUCAUGCUGAAGCACACCAAGAUCGUCCUCGUCACCGUGUAGCUGAUCCUGUUCAGGCUCAGCAACCAGCUGGUGGUGGCUUUCAAGGAGGACAACACAGUGGCCUUCAAGCACCUGUUCCCCAAGGGCUACAAAGAUGGCACCAAUGACACCCAGGCCAUCUACACCUGUGGGGACUUCCUGAAGCACCUGGCCUUUGUCCUCAGGAAGGUGGUAUGGGGACACUGGAGGGGCUGGGCACAUUGGGAGGGGCGGAGAACAUUGUGGGUCCUCCUGGAGCAUGUGCCCUAAGCCCUUGAGAAAGUGGCACAGGGACACUGGGGUGGCUGGGGACACCAGGAGGAACUGGGGACAUCGGGACCUCCUGGAACACCUAGUCUAUGCCCUCAAGAAGGUGGCACAGGGACACCGGAAGGGGUUGUGGACAUCAGGGGAGGGUUGAGAGACAUCAGGAAGGUUGCAGACACCAGGAAAAGUUUGGGAACAUGGGGGUUAUUUGGAGCCAUCAAGGUGCCACCCACAGUGCUCCUGUCCCUGUCCCCACAGUACCUGGCUGUCCUCCAUGAGACCUUUGGUCACCACACCUACACCUGGGGACAUGGAGGUGUUUCUGGAACACUGAGAUGUUUUGGGGCCAUGGAGAUGUUUUGGGGCCAUGGAGAUGUUUUGGGGCCAUGGGGUGGUUUGGGGCCACCAAGGUACCCCAGGGCCACCUCCAGCCUUGGUGUCCCUGUCCCUUGGUGUCCCUGUUCCUGUAGUACCCAAUGGGACCUUGGGCCACUAUGCCUAUGGUGGCACUGAGGGUGGCACCAGGCUCCGGCUGUGCCAGCGCUUCUUCCGCAGGGUGGACAUCAACCCCAGCAACAACACCUUUGACAUCAACCCCAGCAUCAUCACUGGUGGAGACCCUUGGAGUUUGAGGUUUGGGAUUUGUGGUGUGGGGCGCUGGGUUUGGGGUUUGGAGUUUAUGGUUUACGUUUCAAGUUUGGGAGUUGUGGCUUGCGGUUUGGGUUUGUGGUUUGGAUUUGGGUUGGUCGCAUGUCCUGGUUUAGGGCAAAUUUUGGGAGAAAACCUCCAGAAGGAGUCCCGAGAAAGCAAACCCCCUCAGCCUCUCCCCCCUCCUGGUUCGGGAAGAAUUUCCUUGGAGAGAAGUGGAAAGAAAACUGUUUAUUUAAAAGGCAAAGCACUCCCCAGCUAAAAAAAAUGAACAACACUAGAUGACAAAACUCUUUCACCGCUCUGAAGAGAUGACAAAUCCAGACAGUCUCUCCUGGGAGUGGUCGCUCUGUUAUCAGUCCCUCCGGUGCUGAGAAUGGCUGCUGCAGGCCACAAAGUGCAAACUCUCAGUGUUUCCCAGGUCCCAGUCCAGAGCAGGUUUGAAUGGUUCCAAGAAAAGGGAAAGAAAAACAGUCCAGGGGAAAAUUCAGACUGCCCAGCUAAACUAACUAACAAGCCAAAAGCAAAAGCAAUCCAAGGAUUGCUCCCACACAAUAUGUGUCAGGUCAGAAAAUAGUUGCUGGAUUCUAUCUGCCCAGGGCAGCAUGUAAUCUACACUUUGAACCCUAGGUCUAAGUAUUUUCCUUCCCCUGUAAAAGUGUUUCAAUCAUCUUUAAAGAGCUCGUCCACUGAAAUUUGGAUACCACCUUCAGUACUGAAAACAUCCAAGGAUUGCUCCCACACAAAAUGUGGACAGACAGAUCUUGCUGGUCUUUACCUCCAAUGGACAGAGUUUGUGAAAUAAAAUGAGAGUGCUUUACCAUGGGAAGGAAAGCAUGUAGGCCCAGUGGUUUAGGUGCAGAUUACAGGCUGCCCUAGGCGGGUAGAGAUCAGUGAAAGCUUUCUGAUCUGGCAGCUUUUGUAUGAGAGUUAUCUUUGGGCAUAUAUAAUAUUGGAGGUGGUAUCCACAGUUGAAUAAUGGGCUUCUGGAUGAGAGUGAGAGGUUUUUUCCAUAGGAAGGAAAGCGUGUAGCCCCAGUGUUUGUGGUGUUGAUGAGAGGCUGCACAGGGGAGCCAGGGAACGCCAGCCAAGACCUCUCUAUCGUGGCACCUUUUUGGUAGGAGCAGUCCUUGGACAUAAUACUGGUAGUGUUACCUGAUUUGGGUAAUGGGUAAAAUCCCUGGUCAUAUUCAAUUAAUUGCACUUAACAACUGAAAAGCAUGUGUGAUGUAGAAUGCAUGUACUAAGUUACCAUAGUUGUUAGCUUAAAUAAAAGAAGCAACUCUA